rnacentral:rRNA from 1 species
CCGGCACGGGUGAGUAACACGUAUGCAAUCCACCUGUAACAGGGGGAUAACCCGGAGAAAUCCGGACUAAUACCCCAUAAUAUGGGCGCUCCGCAUGGAGAGCCCAUUAAAGAGAGCAAUUUUGGUUACAGACGAGCAUGCGCUCCAUUAGCCAGUUGGCGGGGUAACGGCCCACCAAAGCGACGAUGGAUAGGGGUUCUGAGAGGAAGGUCCCCCACAUUGGAACUGAGGCACGGUCCAA